UACGUAGGGGGCUAGCGUUGUCCGGAUUUAUUGGGCGUAAAGAGCGUGUAGGCGGCCAUGUAGGUCGGUUGUGAAAACUGGAGGCUCAACCUUCAGACGUCGACCGAAACCAUCUGGCUAGAGUCCGGGAGAGGAGAGUGGAAUUCCUGGUGUAGCGGUGAAAUGCGCAGAUAUCAGGAAGAACACCCGUGGCGAAAGCGGCUCUCUGGAACGGUACUGACGCUGAGACGCGAAAGCGUGGGGAGCGAACAGG
rnacentral:rRNA from 1 species